AUUGAACGCUGGCGGCAGGCCUAACACAUGCAAGUCGAGCGGAUGAAGGGAGCUUGCUCCUGGAUUCAGCGGCGGACGGGUGAGUAAUGCCUAGGAAUCUGCCUGGUAGUGGGGGAUAACGUCCGGAAACGGGCGCUAAUACCGCAUACGUCCUGAGGGAGAAAGUGGGGGAUCUUCGGACCUCACGCUAUCAGAUGAGCCUAGGUCGGAUUAGCUAGUUGGUGGGGUAAAGGCCUACCAAGGCGACGAUCCGUACUGGUCUGAGAGGAUGAUCAGUCACACUGGAACUGAGACACGGUCCAGACUCCUACGGGAGGCAGCAGUGGGGAAUAUUGGACAAUGGGCGAAAGCCUGAUCCAGCCAUGCCGCGGGUGUGAAGAAGGUCUUCGGAUUGUAAAGCACUUUAAGUUGGGAGGAAGGGCAGUAAGUUAAUACCUUGCUGUUUUGACGUUACCAACAGAAUAAGCACCGGCUAACUUCGUG
rnacentral:rRNA from 1 species